AAGUAAGAAGCAAUUAAUUGCAAUCAGUUUCGACCUGAUAAUUAGGUAAUUAUUUUACCCUCACUUA
rnacentral:tRNA from 1 species